rnacentral:rRNA from 1 species
CACGUAGGGGGCAAGCGUUGUCCGGAUUUAUUGGGCGUAAAGAGCUCGUAGGCGGCUCAGUAAGUCGGGUGUGAAACCUCCAGGCUCAACCUGGAGACGCCACCUGAUACUGCUGUGGCUAGAGUCCGGUAGGGGAGCGUGGAAUUCCUGGGUGUAGCGGUGAAAUGCGCAGAUAUCAGGAGGAACACCAGCGGCGAAGGCGGCGCUCUGGGCCGGAACUGACGCUGAGGAGCGAAAGCGUGGGUAGCAAACAGG